rnacentral:rRNA from 1 species
GACGAACGCUGGCGGCGUGCUUAACACAUGCAAGUCGAGCGGUAAGGCCCUUUCGGGGGUACACGAGCGGCGAACGGGUGAGUAACACGUGGGUGACCUGCCCUCAGCUCUGGGAUAAGCCUGGGAAACUGGGUCUAAUACCGGAUAUGACUCCAUGACGCAUGUUGUGGGGUGGAAAGCCUUGUGCGGCUGAGGAUGGGGCCCGCGGCCUAUCAGCUUGUUGGUGGGGUGANGGCCUACCAAGGCGACGACGGGUAGCCGGCCUGAGAGGGCGACCGGCCACACUGGGACUGAGACACGGCCCAGACUCCUACGGGAGGCAGCAGUGGGGAAUCUUGCGCAAUGGGCGAAAGCCUGACGCAGCGACGCCGCGUGAGGGAUGACGGCCUCGG